AAAUUGGGUUUUAGGUUUUAAUUUAAAAAUGAAUAAAUAAAUGAAGCUGACCUGAAAAGUAACGCCGGGGAUUUUGGGGGGCAGCAAACAGUUUUCCUAAGCAAGAGGCAGAGGCGCUGAAGCGGAGGGCUCGGAGGGGCAGGUUACCACAGAGGUUUGGGAGGGGGAUGUUUGGCCAGGGCAAGGAGGGGAGCAGGGGAGCGGGGGCACCCCCAGCCCCCCGUGCCUGCUCUCCUGAAACCCUGUCCCGAUUCCUUUCCAGGGUACGCCGCCUGGCCGGGCCGCCGGCUGCCCUGCAGCUGGGCCGAGCAGCGCGCUUCUCUCCGGACGUAACAUGCCAGGUUCUCCUCCGCCAAGUGACGCACAGGUCGGGCCCCGGCUCAGUUUUUGCAGAGCGGAGACGCUGCGUGGGAUUAUCCCCUCCGCCCCCUAAAAUAGCGAUCUUUCAGACCCGUUAGCACACUCUAAAGGAGAAAAAUCCAGAGCUGCUGGUCCUUGCUUCACCAAGAGGAACUGUUGUUGAAUGUUAGGAAACAAAAUCUAUGGAUCUGUGGAUCUGUCCCUUAGAGAUAACUACAGCUGCAAGAACUGCACUUCUGAAAGCAGUACAAACAUGACAGAAGCUUCUGUGGACACGUAUAGUACAAGGUUUGGUUUGAACUCAGAAACCUCUUCUGGAAUUUUAAUAUCUCCUUAAAUAAGCUCACAAAAAAGAGAUGUUCUGCAAAGGGGACUUUGCAUCAAUUAUUUUAAGCCUUCCAAAAAGGAGCAUGUGCAAGUUUCCCACAUCCGUUUUUGUGACUGCGAAGACCCCGACUUCAUCCCUGUGGAAUUGUAACAGUGAGGCCUUGACCCUCUGCUGGGAUAUGAUAGCUCUGAUGUCUGUAUACAUGUCUUACAUCUGAAUGUCCAAACCAUGACCUUACCCAAAGAUCCAAGAGUGGCAGAUUUUGCAGAGCAAGGAGCAAUGGAUUCCUCUUUCCGUGUUGGCUUUGGCUGGAGGUUUUACACAAUUCCACAUCUGCAGCCUGAACCAUCGCUGCCUCUGUGCUGGCACUCCUGGGACUGCUGUGGAAUACAAGUCACUGGCAGGUGUGAAAUACAGCCCUUCAUUUUGGGGUCUGAAGGAUGGACUCAGUAUUUUAUGAUGUCUUGGGCCUGAGAGUGGGCUAUAAGAUCUGCUGAUGUUCCUGCUUGUCAUAUUUUCUAUUUUUUGUGCAUGCUUUCUUUGUAUCUUGUUUCUCCUCCCACAAGGACUCUGAAAACCUUUUUGUCUUUUUCUUUUGAAUAUUCCUAUAAAGGUGGGGAGCCAUUUUGGAGUCCUUUUGUUUUCUACCCAUAACUUUUUUCCCUUGAGCUUCUUAGUGUCAGGAAAGGUACUAUGACAAUCUGUACCUGUCACUAAGGCAUAGUCACGUUUUUCUUUUAUUUGAUUUCUGCUAUAUCAUUUUUGGGAUGAGAUCACAAACCUGCAUAUACUGUUGAAAGGGAGGAUGCACCAGUGGUUUAGAUAUUAGCAUUAUAAAUUCAAUAAUAUUACAAAUUUCCUUCUUAUUACAUCUUAAUGUCUUAUCAUGAUUUUUAUAUACUGGCUGCACAUUGAACAAAUGUCUCUAUUCAGUUCUUCUUGAUGACUCCUUGAUUUUCUUUUCCCUGAGAUCUUAUAACUAAUUCAGAAGUUAUCAGUGCAUAGGAGGAGUUUAAAUUGUUCUUUCCAAUGUGCACUACCUUGCAAUGUUCUACAUUCAGUUUAAUCUGGUCAUCAUGUCAUCCAGUUGCUUUGUUAUAAUAGGUCCUUGUGGAGCUCUUCAGAACUGUUUAUCCUGUUGCCUUUUCUGUCAACAUAAUAACACAGAACACUUUAACAGGAGUUAGGAGAUCAAUAUGUUACCCUAAUGGAAAAGUUUUAUUCAAGCUAAUAGAAAUACAAACAGUAGGCCUCCACAUAAAUUAUUAUUAAAAACACGUUUCUGUUUUUAAAAAUGAUGUUUUUGUUCUGGGUUUUUAAAUUAUGCCUAACAUAACCAUUUAUUUUGGAUGAAAUGUAGUUGACAGUUCAAAAGAAUAAGAUACCAUGGAAAGUUUAUGUUUUCCUGUGGCAUUGUAUAGGUCUCUUCCAUAAGACUAUAGUCACAAUCAACAUUAAAAUAUAUUAAUCAGUUUGAAUAACAAAAUGUACCUUCCUUGAGAAAAUCAAGAAAAAAAGUUUGUAAAUUUUAGAAAGGCCCUAUUAAAGAGACCAAUAGAUUAAAAAGAACCCUUGAAGAUGACAGUAUUGAACGAUUCAUGGCUUGGCAGAUGUUCUCUUAAUCAUCAGUCAUGAACGGUAUAUGUGUACCCUUUUAUCUGAAAUAUCUUCACUACCGUAUCGGGUCCCUUAUUGCUCUAGGUUUUUGAUGGUUUUCUAGCUUUGGCUAGAAAUGUUGACUUUUAAAAUUUUGACUUACUUGCAUUUAUUGUCAAUGCUUCUGCUCUCACUAAGCUUUUAAUUAAUGAUACAACAAAUGUUCUGUUUUGAA